rnacentral:lncRNA from 1 species
UUUGUCAUCACUCAUGCUUCUCUCUGGUUUUCUCAAACUUCGGAAAGAAUCAAUUUUAAGACCCUUCGAGUUACUCAUCUUUGUCGUCGUUGGUUUGUCAGAACGCAAUGACUGCCUUUUAGCUUCAUCUUCAUAUAACUCUGCCAAGGCCAACUGCAAAUCCCGUGCGCUGGGCGGGCGGCCGCUACCGCGGUGCUGCCGCUCCCUCCGGAGACCUGGGCCGGCCGCCGACAUUUCCCCUUCCUGCUGCGCGGGAGAUGCCCCGCCGUCCGCCAUCUUCUGAGGGCGGCAACCCCUCCCGCGGGUCGCCUUGGGCGGGGCCAGCGCCGCGCGGCACUUCCGGCUGCCAUGGCAACGGAGCGGCCCCGCCCACGGGGCUGUUUCCAUGGAGACGGAUGGAGGCCCGCUGCCAUCGGAGAGGGCCUGGGCGGCGGGCUUCGUGCCUGUGUGCCUGUCCGCGUCCUCUCCUCCUCCUAGCAGAGGCAAAGCAAAGCUGCAUUCAUAAGCAAAGCAAAAUAAGUCUUUGUUCACAACUUCCCGUUGGUGGGCAGAGAUUUAGACGUUUCCAGGAGAGCAUUGCUUCAUCACUGCUUCAACUCUUUACAAAGAUAGGUAACAUCAGGACAAGGGGAAGUGGUUUAAGUUGAAGGAGGAAAGAUUUAGUCUGGAUAACAGGGGGGAUUUUUUUACAGAGAGAGUGAUGAGGUGCUGGAACAGGCUGCCUAGAGAGGUUGUGGAUGCCCCGUCCCUCGAGGUGUUCAAGACCAGGUUGGAUGGAGGCCCUGGGCAGCCUGGUCUAAUACCAGAUGUGGAGGAUGGUGUCCCUGCCUGUGGCAGGGGGUUUGGAGCCUGAUGAUCCUUGAG